CGCAAGAGUCACGGUCAGUUGCGCCUCUGCUUCGGAAGAGUAUUUUUAGUGGCAAAUAAAGUGGUGCGCAAAUAAACAAACGCCUGGAACAAAUCCUGCAAAGGAGAGCGCCUGUGUGCGGCCCACUGUCUAACUAGGUCAGCCUCGGGCACAGCUCCUUUUGACAGUUUGCUCCCCAGGGCGGAAGGUGACCCGCAGGUGCCGGCUGCUUUCCCCACCAAUCAGCCAUCUGUGGUUUGAGACUCACAAGCUUAGGAGAGACUCGGGAGGCAUCAGUUCCGCAUCCCGCACUCCCACGUGAAUUUGCCCCCGCCCUGAGUCAGAACCCUAGAGGGGUGAAAUCCCUGAAUUCUGCAGAGGAAACCCAUACUUCUUUGCUUUUUCAGCAAUUCCAGGAGAUGUCGUUUUUCAAGUGGCAAAUGUGUGGCUCUAGAGGACAGAGUAACCACCUUGCAGCCAAGAAGCCCUGAUGUCAACUCCCAGCUCUGCUGCAGCACCCAGAAAUCACCGGACCUUUCUGCAUCUUUCUGGUCUUUGAGCUUCUUAAAGGGAAGACAUGUCCUAUUCAUCUCUACACCCCCCACACCAGUCUGCAUUCAGUAAGUGCUCAAUCAAUGUCUGCUGAAUCACAUCUUCCCACUCAACUGCAUGGCCUCGGAUGAUCCAAUUCUGUGGGACUCAGGGUCUCCCUGAUUCUGAAGAUCUCCAUUUCAGCCACCCCAUCCUGGUGCUUUUUCUGGAGAGACUGGGAAAAAGGUCUUAUUGGCUGUGCAAACUUGAGGGAGUUGCCUAACCACUCUGGGCCCUGUUUUCCUGGCUUUGCCACUCUUCAGCUGUGUGACCCGGGGAAGCUCUCAACCUCUUUGUGCCUCCAUUUCCACAUCUGUAAAAUGGGGAUAUGAAAGUGGCUGCUUUGUGAAGAGUCCUGAGAAUAAAUGAGUUAAGGAAAACUGAUAUGGAUAAAUAUGGAAGAGAGCUGGCCAGUGGAUGAAAUGGUGAUGUAAAGGUUAAGAGAAAUAAAAGCAGGAGACGAGGAGAGAGUCACACCACGGCUCUGCAGCCCACACCACCUUGGAACCAAACAGGGAGGUGGCAGAACUGAUGGGCUGGCCGCACCACCUUAAAUCUCUUAGCUCCAAAACUGGAGGUGCUCAUCAGGACCCUGCAUCAUUUCUGUGGGUGAUGGAUGGUGUGAGGUAAGGCACAGAGAUCUAGACUUAUUUCUCCUUCCACAACAAUUGUUUCUUGGAAGAGGAAGAAAACUUAGCUGGAUUUUAUCUCUUUGUGUGGAUUUCUGGGGUAGACACCCAGAGGUGUGUGCAGGAGCAUGCUCUUUGGGGCCCACAUAGAGAUUCCAGCAGGUGCUGGAGAUUCUGGGGUAGCCUUUCCAUGACUGCUGGCCUCUUUUCCCCUGUGUUGCUUUGGUUUGCUGUCUGGCUAAAGGCAGGAGUGGGAGAAACUCACAUUCCACAAGAGGCUGCCUGGAGCAGAGGCCAAGAGGGUAAGGUUUGUCCAAGGCCUUCCAUCUCAGCUUUGCUGCCAAUUUGUCAGAAAAAAAAUCAUUUGUGCCAAUUAGACCCUGGUUAGGAAAGUGUUGUCCUGUCUGGGAAGCAGGUACAGAAACCAGUUGCAAGGACAGGAGAUCAAUGAAAGUGACACAUUACUUAUGCCUCCAAUUCUUCUCAGCCCUCAAUUUAGUCUCUGAGACACAGAGAAAAUAAGUGUACUUGCCUUGCUAAUGGGUACAUGGUUGGCUUUGGGCAAUUUAUAUAGAGCACUUUAGUUCCAAGAUGAAAUGCACUGAGAUAUUAGGAUUAGUCUCUGCUUUAAUGAGUUUCUGACUUGCAGGUUUGAAAAAAUUUAGUUCUUUUCUGUAUUUCUCUACAAACACAAAACAAUGAUUUAAUGGUAAAACAACAAUGAAAAGAAACUAGGCCAUUCUCUCCAAAAUGAUUAAAAGGGUACUUCUCCUGACCUGACAUAACCUUUCCUCAUAUGAAUUUAUUAUCUGUAUUCACACUCAUAUUCCACUGGAAUGCCUUGGGUCCAGGUGGAUGGUUGCUUAUGGUUAGUAUCGAUUCUGAGCAGGUAGGCAUUCAUACUGUUUGGUUGACGCCUGUGGUGAACAGACCUUAAGGUGACUUCUUGCACCCCUGAGUCAUUUUCUUGUAUAAUCUCCUCUCUUUGAGGACACAAACUGUGCCCUGCUUCAAACCAGUGGAAUAGAGACAAGGUGAUGAGAUCUUUGGUUAUUGCACCUAACUGCUUCAUUCAUUGCACAAUUAGUCACACGCUGUUUUGUGAUGCAGAACAUUUUUUUUUAAGAGAUGGUAGUCUCACUCUGACACCCAGGUUGGAGUGCAGUGACAUGAUCAGAGCUCACUGCAGCCUCAAACUCCUGGGCUCAAGGGAUCCUCCUGCCUCAGCCUCCUGAGUAGCUGGGACUAGAGGUGCGUGCCACCACACCCAGCUAUUUUUUAUUUUUUGUAGAAAUGGAGUCUCACUUUGUGGCCCAAGCUGGUCUCCAACUCCUGGGCUCAAGUGAUCCUCCCACCUUGGCUUAUCAAAUUGCUGGGAUCACAGGUUUGAGCCACCGUGCUUGGACUGUGAUGCAAAAUUUUAUCUAAACCUUGUAUUGUUGACUAUAGCAUCAUGCACUUACUAUUUUCCCUCUUAACUAGAUUUUAAGUCUCUUGAGGGCAAGAACUCUGUUCUUGAAGAUUUUCAGAAGCCCGAUAGCAUAUGGAAGUACUUGACACACAAUAAGUACACAGUCAUAUGUGAUUUGGUUUCUGAGCCUUCAUUUGUCCAACAAAACCAGAUGGGUCUUAGAUGAAGAUAUACGUGGCAAACACUGCAUGCCUACUGUGGGUCAGGUUAGCUCCCAGACAUGCAGAAAACAAAAGCUCUGUCCUCAGGAGUUCAUGAUGGUUCAACCCAAUCAACGAAGUCUUGCAAUCUCACUUCCUCCUUACCUUGUAGAGUUGGAAGAUAUCCAAAUAUUCCUAGAGUUCUUUGUCAAUCUGUCAGGAUUAUAAUUCCACAGAUCAGGCAGAGUGUAACCAUGAAGCUCUUCAGUGAAUUUUUAGUGACUUUUGGGUGAUUUUUUAGUUUCCAAGUAGAAGAAGCAAAAGACCCUUGUGGUGGUUACCUUCCAUCUAAACAGAGAGUGAGCUACAAAGAUACUGCUGUCCCUCAGUGGCCCAUGGGUGUCCCUGCAAAUCUGUGACUCAAGUGGCCAUAUUCAUAUUAAGCAGACCAGAGAUCAAAACCAUAUUAGGCAUGAACCACUUUUUAUUCAUAGGCUUACCGAAUAUAU
rnacentral:lncRNA from 10 species